AUCGCUUCUCGGCCUUUUGGCUCAGAUCAAGUGUAGUAUCUGUUCUUAUCAGUUUAAUAUCAGAUACGUCGCCCAUCGGGGGACUACAUAUUAAAUGGAUUUUUCCAACAGGGAGUCGGAAAUGGGGCUUGCUC
rnacentral:snRNA from 8 species